rnacentral:lncRNA from 1 species
CCCCACUAUUACACUCCGAGAAUGGGAGUGACUAGGAGUGAGUUCACUCUCGCACCUGCGUACAAGGCUCGUUUACUAGUUAGGCACAGCGGAGGCCAGUGCCAUCUUAUAAUGGCGAUUGCUCGCGGCACGGCUCUCCACAUCGAUUACUGGCAGCACGCACACGAUUGCUCGCGGCAGGCUCUCCACAAUAACUCCCCGAAGCAGC